rnacentral:lncRNA from 1 species
AGCUCUGUCGCUUGCACCAGAUUCUUAAAAGGGUCACGUGUUUGCAAAGUUUAGGAACCACAAAUAUGUCUGAAUAUGUUUCUCUGUAGCAACCACAAAUAUGUGUGAGUGUGACUUAGCAGAUCCAUGGCAAUCGGUGCCACAGGCUCCAGAAGUCGGUUUCUGGACGUUUGCAGGCGUGGACUACCUGGGAGAGACGUCCAGGAGUGUCUGCGUGUCGGGUGGGACGGGGAUCCAGGGAUCUAGGGAUUAGGGUGGUUUCUACCCCAGCCACAGGUGCUGUGGGUUUCAGUCACGUGGAAACAAAGAGUGGUCAAAGACGGCUUUUCUGGGCUGGUUCCUUUGUGGGGAAUACGGGAAAAUGGAGGGAAAAUGCCCUUCAGGAUGGACUUCUGUGGACAGUUUAUGUCAAGGAAAGUGCAGAGUCUGGGGUUUCCAGGAGGGCCCUUCGCUGUGAGGUGUGAGAUACCACACGUGGAGGCUGGAGAGGAAAGGGGCAUCCCCGCCACGUUAGCUGCCCAACGGCUCCCUUUGCCUCCCUGCUCUUGCAGCUGUGUGGUCCUGUGGACUGAAAGGUGAGGCAGACCCUGUGCCGGCCCGUGAGGUGGAAACCGUGGCUGGACUGAGCCGUCCUUAUGUGAGGUGCCACGUCUUUCACUCGGCGAUUUUUACACAACUAGAAAUGAUAGUUGCCAGGUAUUUAGAAUAGAUCAUACAAAUGUCUCAGAAAUUUUGUAAUGAGUGUUGACAUUUUAGUGGAGGAGAUACUUUCAGAUGUGUUUUCAUUUCCAUACUGAAAAACAAGCCCAGACUGGCUUCAUUAAUGGAGUUGCUUUUGGCAGUUCUUCGUGGCGUGUGUUCAAACGAGCUGGGAUACUUCGGGGUACACAGGAAUUCGUGGCGUGUCUUCAAACGAGCUGGGAUACUUCGGGAUACACACGAAUGUGGAGAAAAUGCACAUGCCCAGUUUGUCUUAAUUGUAAUAAGACAGCCUUGAUUUGCAUUUUCAUCGAAGGACUUUGAAACCUUUUCGCUACUCUUCUCACUGCCUCGCUGAUGCUCUGUUGGGCACUGGGAGAGAAGCUCCGCCCAGGUGCCUCCUCUUUUCCCAA